ACGAACGCUGGCGGCACGCUUAACACAUGCAAGUCGAACGAGAGAAGAGAAGCUUGCUUUUCUGAUCUAGUGGCGGACGGGUGAGUAACACGUGAGCAAUCUGCCUUUCAGAGGGGGAUACCGAUUGGAAACGAUCGUUAAUACCGCAUAACAUAAUUGAACCGCAUGAUUUGAUUAUCAAAGAUUUAUCGCUGAAAGAUGAGCUCGCGUCUGAUUAGCUAGUUGGUAAGGUAACGGCUUACCAAGGCGACGAUCAGUAGCCGGACUGAGAGGUUGAUCGGCCACAUUGGGACUGAGACACGGCCCAGACUCCUACGGGAGGCAGCAGUGGGGAAUAUUGCACAAUGGAGGAAACUCUGAUGCAGCGAUGCCGCGUGAGGGAAGAAGGUUUUAGGAUUGUAAACCUCUGUCUUCAGGGACGAAAAAAGACGGUACCUGAGGAGGAAGCUCCGGCUAACUACGUGCCAGCAGCCGCGGUAAUACGUAGGGAGCGAGCGUUGUCCGGAAUUACUGGGUGUAAAGGGAGCGUAGGCGGGAUCGCAAGUCAGAUGUGAAAACUAUGGGCUUAACCCAUAAACUGCAUUUGAAACUGUGGUUCUUGAGUGAAGUAGAGGUAAGCGGAAUUCCUAGUGUAGCGGUGAAAUGCGUAGAUAUUGGGAGGAACAUCAGUGGCGAAGGCGGCUUACUGGGCUUUAACUGACGCUGAGGCUCGAAAGCGUGGGGAGCAAACAGGAUUAGAUACCCUGGUAGUCCACGCCGUGAACGAUGAUUACUAGGUGUGGGGGGACUGACCCCUUCCGUGCCGCAGCAAACGCAAUAAGUAAUCCACCUGGGGAGUACGACCGCAAGGUUGAAACUCAAAGGAAUUGACGGGGGCCCGCACAAGCAGUGGAGUAUGUGGAUUAAUUCGAAGCAACGCGAAGAACCUUACCAGGUCUUGACAUCGUAUGCAUAGCUCAGAGAUGAGUGAAAUCUCUUCGGAGACAUAUAGACAGGUGGUGCAUGGUUGUCGUCAGCUCGUGUCGUGAGAUGUUGGGUUAAGUCCCGCAACGAGCGCAACCCUUACUGUUAGUUGCUACGCAAGAGCACUCUAGCAGGACUGCCGUUGACAAAACGGAGGAAGGUGGGGAUGACGUCAAAUCAUCAUGCCCCUUAUGACCUGGGCCUCACACGUACUACAAUGGCUGUCAACAGAGGGAAGCAAAGCCGCGAGGUGGAGCAAACCCCUAAAAGCAGUCUUAGUUCGGAUUGUAGGCUGCAACCCGCCUACAUGAAGUCGGAAUUGCUAGUAAUCGCAGAUCAGCAUGCUGCGGUGAAUACGUUCCCGGGCCUUGUACACACCGCCCGUCACGCCAUGGGAGUCGGUAACACCCGAAGCCUGUAGUCUAACCGCAAGGAGGACGCAGUCGAAGGUGGGAUUGAUGACUGGGGUG
rnacentral:rRNA from 1 species